rnacentral:rRNA from 1 species
UACGAAGGGGGCUAGCGUUGCUCGGAAUCACUGGGCGUAAAGGGUGCGUAGGCGGGUUUCUAAGUCAGAGGUGAAAGCCUGGAGCUCAACUCCAGAACUGCCUUUGAUACUGGAAGUCUUGAGUUCGGGAGAGGUGAGUGGAACUGCGAGUGUAGAGGUGAAAUUCGUAGAUAUUCGCAAGAACCCCAGUGGCGAAGGCGGCUCACUGGCCCGAUACUGACGCUGAGGCACGAAAGCGUGGGGAGCAACAGG